rnacentral:rRNA from 1 species
GACGAACGCUGGCGGCGUGCUUAACACAUGCAAGUCGAGCGGUAAGGCCCUUUCGGGGGUACACGAGCGGCGAACGGGUGAGUAACACGUGGGUGACCUGCCCUUAGCUCUGGGAUAAGCCUGGGAAACUGAGUCUAAUACCGGAUAUGACUCCAUGACGCAUGUUGUGGGGUGGAAAGCCUUGUGCGGCUAGGGAUGGGCCCGCGGCCUAUCAGCUUGUUGGUGGGGUGAGGCCUACCAAGGCGACGACGGGUAGCCGGCCUGAGAGGGCGACCGGCCACACUGGGACUGAGACACGGCCCAGACUCCUACGGGAGACAGCAGUGGGGAAUCUUGCGCAAUGGGCGAAAGCCUGACGCAGCGACGCCGCGUGGGGAUGACGGCCUGGUGU